rnacentral:rRNA from 1 species
GACGUAGGGGACGAGCGUUGUCCGGAUUUAUUGGGCGUAAAGCGCGCGCAGGCGGCUUGGUAAGUCGGGUGUGAAAAUCCGAGGCUCAACCUCGGACGUGCACCUGAAACUGCCAGGCUAGAGGUAGGUAGGGGAGAUCGGAAUUCCUGGUGUAGCGGUGAAAUGCGCAGAUAUCAGGAGGAACACCGGUGGCGAAGGCGGAUCUCUGGGCCUUACCUGACGCUCAGGCGCGAAAGCUAGGGGAGCGAACAGG